rnacentral:lncRNA from 10 species
UUAAUAGUCUUCCCUAAUAUUUCUAACCAGCUUCACUUUUAUGCUGGAAUUUGAAUUUACACCAUACUCAUAGUCCAAGAAAAUUCAAACCAAUAAAUCUAACUAGAAUGGUUCCUGAUUGGUCCUGCUUCCAGAGCCAAGCAGAAACCAAGCAAAUCAUCUCAGUUUUGGUCUCUCAGGAAACCCAAAGUUAAAGUUUAGACAAAUAUGAGCGAUUUAUAAAAUUUAACAAAGAGUUGAAGGGUCAAACUACCAUAAGCAGGAGUCAACAGAAACCAUAAAGAGAACAACAAGACAUAGAAAAAUACAAAUAUUAAAAUUAUAACAAACUUUAUACUCAGGAAGUAGGUUUAAAAGCAUGUUUAAAGUGAAAAGAUAGAGAUCAACACGAUGACUAUGGGGAGCAUUAAAAGGGGCCAUUGGUCCACUCUGGAACUUCAAAGUAGGUUUUCUGAA